UAGGUUCAUUCCUGUUUGUGAGUAAGCCU
rnacentral:piRNA from 1 species